rnacentral:rRNA from 1 species
UACAGAGGUCCCAAGCGUUGUUCGGAUUCAUUGGGCGUAAAGGGUGCGUAGGUGGUGCCGUAAGUCAGGUGUGAAAUCUCGGGGCUUAACUCCGAAACUGCAUUUGAUACUGCGGUGCUUGAGGACUGGAGAGGAGACUGGAAUUUACGGUGUAGCAGUGAAAUGCGUAGAGAUCGUAAGGAAGACCAGUGGCGAAGGCGGGUCUCUGGACAGUUCCUGACACUGAGGCACGAAGGCCAGGGGAGCAAACGGG